rnacentral:rRNA from 1 species
UACGUAGGUGGCAAGCGUUGUCCGGAUUCACUGGGCGUAAAGCGCGCGCAGGCGGUCUUCUACGUCUGGGGUGAAAUCCCGGGGCUCAACCCCGGGCCUGCAGUGGGUACGGGCAGACUAGAGUGCGGUAGGGGAGACUGGAAUUCCUGGUGUAGCGGUGAAAUGCGCAGAUAUCAGGAGGAACACCGGUGGCGAAGGCGGGUCUCUGGGCCGUAACUGACGCUGAGGAGCGAAAGCAUGGGGAGCGAACAGG